GGGAACAGCAACAAAAUUACUAAUGGCUUAUAAAUGCGUAAGUGAGGAUUUGAAGAUUUUAGGCUGUAUUUUAACACUAUGAAUGUUGUGCAAAAUCAGCGGAGCAAACGGAAAAGCAACUCUGGAAGAACACACCUCAGAAAUAAAAGCAAAACCCCUUCUCCAAUGUAACACAUGUCCUGAUGUCCACUCUGAGAUGAAGCUCAGAUCUAUUGCUGCAAUUUUCCAUGGGUUGUUGCUGCUGUUCUGUGCCUGAACAGAAUCCAGUCCCAACCCUCCUGUAGCAGGAGGAAUUACUUCAUGGACGAGGUGAGAGAAGUGGAACCAGCCCAAAGAAAAAAGCAAUUCUACAGCAUCUGAAAAGGGAGAAAACUGCUCUUUAAAAAAGUGCAUGAAGCUAACCUAUGGGUGUUCGGUAGCUUCAACGGCUUCAAGCAUGAGUCUAAUUCCUGAAGGAAGUGAUGGCUGGCCACGGCAUAUGCACAUGCUGUCAGCAAGAAGGAACAGUCUGGAGGGGCCACUGAUAGUGACAAUAGGAUAUGUCUCUACUGCAUAUACCAGCUU